AUUGAACGCUGGCGGCAUGCUUUACACAUGCAGGUCGAACGGUAACAGGCCUUCGGGUGCUGACGAGUGGCGAACGGGUGAGUAAUGCAUCGGAACGUGCCCAGAGGUGGGGGAUAACGCAGCGAAAGCUGUGCUAAUACCGCAUGUGAUCUGAGGAUGAAAGCGGGGGACCAGGCAGCAAUGUUUGGCCUCGCGCCUUUGGAGCGGCCGAUGUCAGAUUAGGUAGUUGGUGGGGUAAAGGCCUACCAAGCCGACGAUCUGUAGCUGGUCUGAGAGGACGACCAGCCACACUGGGACUGAGACACGGCCCAGACCCCUACGGGAGGCAGCAGUGGGGAAUUUUGGACAAUGGGCGCAAGCCUGAUCCAGCAAUGCCGCGUGCGGGAAGAAGGCCUUCGGGUUGUAAACCGCUUUUGUACGGAACGAAAAGGCUCUGGCUAAUACCUGGGGCUGAUGACGGUACCGUAAGAAUAAGCACCGGCUAACUACGUG
rnacentral:rRNA from 1 species